GGGUGAGCGGGGAGGCGGGGGCGAGCGGGGAGGGGGGGGGGGGCGUUUCGGUGCGGCGGCGGCGGCGGCUGCUGCGGGAGGUGCCCGGUGCGGCGGCGGCGGCGGGGAGCGGAGCCAGCCGCAAGCCCCGGGGUAUGCCCUCGCCCCUUCCCCCGCUGCCGCUGGAGCGGGGUGUGGGUAAGGAGGAGCGGAGGAGGGCUGGAAGGGAGCGGAGAGCGGCGGGGAGCGGGGCGAAGGAGCCCGGCCGAGAGGCGGAGGAUGCGCCGAGCCCCGCGGAGCCCAGCCCAGCAGCGACGCGGCGCUUCUCGCCCGGCCGCCGCCCGAGGAGCCCCCUGUGCCCGGGAGCCAUGAGCCGCCCUCAGCGCCCGCAGAGCCUCCGAAGCAGCCCCCCGGCCGCAGCCCCCCGGCGCUGCUAG
rnacentral:lncRNA from 1 species